CAUCGGACUUAGAUUAUUGAGUGCGCCGGUUGGAAACUCUGGUGUAGAACUGCUCAAAUUCGGGGAAACCUGUCAAAUGGCAAUCCCGAGCCAAGCCCCCGAAAGGGGGAAGGUGUAGAGACUAGACGGGCAGCGCCUAAGGCGAAAGCUAGGGUGAAGGGAUAGUCCAGACCACAAAGCCCCUAGGGG
rnacentral:ncRNA from 1 species